AAAAUCAAAAUUAAAAAAUCUGGAAGUUCCUGUCGUGGCUCAGUGGAAAAGAAUGUGACUAGUAUGGAUGCAGGUUUGAUCCAUGGCCUUGCUCAGUAGGUUAAGGAUCUGACGUUGCUGUGAGCUGUAGUGUAGGUCACAGACAUGGCUCAGAUCUGGCGUUGCUGUGGCUGUGCUAUAGGCAAGUGGCUACAGCUCUGAUUCGACCCCUAGCCUGGGACCUUCCAUAUGCCACGAGUGUAGCUCUUCAAACAAACAAACAAACAAACAAAAAAAACUAUAUGCUAAGAGAAAAUUGAAAAGUAAAUUUAAAAAUUAAUCCCAUUUACAAAAGCCUCAAAAAGAAUAAAAGUUUAUUCUUAUAUAAACUUAACUAAAGCAAUGAAAUACUUGUUCACUGAAAACUAUAAAACAUGACUAAAAGAAAUUAAAGAGAAAUAUAUCCCAUAUUCAUGGAAUUGUUAAGAUGUCCAUCCUACCCAACCCAAAGCAAUCUACAGACUCAGCACAAUAGCUAACAAAAACCCCGUGAUAUUUUUCUAUAGAAACAGAAAAGAAAUCUUAAAAUUCAUAUUAAACCAUAAGGAUCCUGAAUACCUAAAACAAUCUUGAAAGGAAGUAGAACAAAUUUGGAGGCCUCACAUUUCCUGAUUUCAAAACAUAUUACAAAACUGCAUAAUCAAAACUAUGUGUCAGUGGCUUAAAAACAGACCUACCAGACCAAUAGAACAAAAUAGAGAGCCCUGAAAUAAACCCACCUAUAUAUCAACUCGUCCUCAAUAAGAGUGUCAAGAAUACACAAUAGGGGAAGUACAGUAUUUUAAACAAACUGUGCUGGAAAAGCUGGAUGUCCAAAUACAAGGUAGUGAAAUAAACCCCUAUCUUAUACUAUACACAAACAUCAACUCAAAAUGGAUUAAAAACUAAAAUAUGAAACCUCAAACUGUAAAAUUCCUAGAAGAAAACAUGAGACAUUGACAUUGGUCUUGGCAAAGAUUUCUUGAAUAGGAUACCAAAAGCAUAGGUAGCAAAAGCAAAAAUAGAUAAACGGGACUACAGUAAAUUAAAAUGUUUCUUCCCAGCAGAUACUCAACAGAAUGAAAGGCAAACUUCCAAACUACAUACCUUAAUAUGGUCUAUACAUACAUACAUACAUACAGAUGUAUAAAAUAACAUACCAUGUUUUGGCACCGAUGUGCACUGUUAGACUGUAAAAUGGUACACUGUUACAGAAAAUUAGUAUAGAGGUUCCUUAGAAAAGUAAAAUAGAACUACACUUGAUUCAACAAUCCCACUUGUGUGUAAUUAUCCAAAAUAACUGAUUUAGGAUCUCAAAGAGGUGUCUGUACCCCCAUAUGCAAGUAUUAAUCACAACAGUCAAGAGGUGGAAGCAACCUAAGUGUCUGUGGACAGGCUAAUGGAUAAAGAAUAUGUGAUAUAUACAUAAAUGUAGUAUUAUUCCAACAUACAAAAGAAAGAAAUCUUGUCAUGUGCCACCGGAUGAAUUAGCCAUAAGGACAUUACACUAAGUGAAAUAAGACAUUCACAAAACAACAGAUUAUCCGCUUAUACAAGUAUGUAAAGUAGUCAAACUCAUCCAAGCAGAAGAAGGUAGGAAGGUGAUUGUAGGGGCUCUGGGGAGGGGAAAAAGAGAAUUGCUCAUGGGAUAUAAAGUUUCAGCCAUGCAAAAGAAAAAAACGCUAGCGAUCUUUUAUACAACAUUGUGGUUAUAGCAAACAAUACUGUGCUGAACAAUUAAACAACUCAAAAGAGAUUUUAUGUUAUGUGUUUUUUAAAAAGGUUUUAUAACAAUAAUUUUAAAACUUUUUUAAAAAGCUGGUGGUGCUCUUCUCUCCACUCUGAAUUCCAAAGACAACGUCUAUUCCAUUCCACCUCGUGUCUCAUUACUGUUUUACUAUACUUUCAUUUUAUAAAUAUUGACCGAGCUCUCUGAGUACCUUGUUUCUGUUAUCUCUAUUACCUAGUUCGGGUCUUUGAACACAGAAAACACUCAACACAUACUUGUUGAAUAAACACAUUUAUGCAUUUGUAAAAAAAAAAUCUAGUAAAAAUUUUCCAAAUAUUAUAUACAGGCUCGUUAAUUUUUAGAAUUUACUUGAAAGGCUAAUUUUCAGAACUCUACUAAGGCUAUAAAUCCAGCAGGAAUUCAAAGAUGGUAGCAUCAUUACUGAGAAAAUUAUUUGAGGAAAGACUUAAGGGAGGAUGUUGGUCAUCAUUCCUUCAUGCACCACACAUAGGAACUAUUAGAUGCCAUGAGGAUGAACAGAGGUUCACCAUCUAAGGAGUAGUCAGAAUAUAUAUAAUAAGUGGCCCCCCAAAAAUCAAUAAAGUGGUUAAAGAUACAGCAAGAUUAGAGCAAGUGGCAACUAUCAAUACCUUUGGGGGUCACCAAAGGCUUUACAUCUAUACAUGUUGAGUUUUAAAGAAACAGUAUAUAUUCAAAAGGUAAGAGAAGGGCCUUCUGGGCAGAGGAAGUAGCAGGUACAAAGGUGAGAAAAUAUGAAAAAAAAAAAAACUGUCUGAGGGCAUCUGUAAAAAGUUCAGAAGGUCUGGAGUAUAAGACUUCUUUAUAAGUACGAGUAUAAGUAGGAGACCCAUGCAUAAGUAGGAGAGUAACACAGAACAUAGUGUAAUCAAAUUGAGGAGGACUUUUAAGGUCCAAGUUAAGCUAUUCAUUAGAAGUAAGGAGAAAGAGCUAUGUCAGAAUUUCCCCCAUCUCCUCUCCAAUAUCAACUAAAUGCAAGGAUUAAAAACAAUAACAUUGAGAUGCUGCUAAUAGUAUAUCCAUGACCUAGAUAAAAGCAUGUGAAAAUUAUACCCGCUUGUUAGGGUCUAGGCAAUGCAUUUGAUUUCCUUAAGCAGAAUUAAUUUCUGUCUCUGUGUAUUUCAGAACACUUUUUACUAGUUAUAAUAGUGAUCACCUUUGACUACAUACUCUACACAUAUUUAAGUAAAAUGUACUAAUUCCUCCAACUGCACAAUGGCAUUUUUAGCCCCUUGCUUAUCUCUGUAUCUACCACAGAGUUUGAAUCAAUUGAAUGGCACCAAGUGGAACUGAGCUAAAGUAUUAUUUCUUUCUCAUAAAUAUUUUAAUCUUUGAUCUUUUUGAAUAAAUGCAUGAAUAAAAGUUAUCUUUCACAAUAUGGCUAACUUACACACAUACACAUACAAAACCCACCGUGUUUGGUUACUGACACCUAAACUUUUGUUUUUCUUAGACUUGAGUCAGCAGAAAUAUGAAACCUGGUAAGACUGGCUGUAUUUCCAGCUUCUGUGACCCUUAUUUAUUCAUCAAACUGUUGUGAACUUUGGCCCAGCUAAGCUUUUUUGCAGCCUGUGUAUCUGUGUACCAUUCAACUGCAUGAAAUAAAUACUCCUUAUUCUAAAGAAUCAGUCUACAGAUAUUUGGGGGGCAUUGAAAGAAGAGGCCAGUCAGCAUAUACAUUUUUGUUUCUACAUAGAAUGACCAGGUGAUUUUUUUCAAGGUCAUCUCAGUUCUAAGUACUAGCCCAGAUAGGAAGUGCCUAAUCUUUAUAGAACUACUGGGUAUGUUUUUCUUUGUUUAUCACAGGGUCAAUGAUAGAAUAAACCUCAAAGAAGUGUGUACCAAGCUACCCAAAGCCUCGGUGCAAAAGAAAAGAAAUUUCUAAGAUUUUAAAUGUUAAGGGAACACAAUAGUUUCAUGAAGCAAACCACAAGUCAGGCUUUAGAGGGAAUUUGGGAAUUGAAGAGUAAAGGACAAAAAUUUUCACCUACGUUUGCUAGAAUUUUGAUUUCCUUUUUCAUAACUCCUGUAUCACACAUCCCCUAUUAGAGAUGUUUAUGUGAAUUUACCCUACUGUAGUCAAAAAUCAUUUUAGGUUUCUUUUUUCAAGUACUGAAUUUAAAAAGAUAUAAAGACUGUAAUUGAGUAUCUACACAGCUCAAGACAGUUACUUUUAUAGAUAUUUAUACUAAGCUCUUGAUAAUCAUCUAUCAAUUUCAUGCCAUUAUCUUAUGAUGUGGUAACAAACAUGUUAAUUUAGUUAAUGACACUUUCAUUUCCUAAGGAAGCUAAUAUGAUUUCUUCAAGUAUUCAAUGCUUGAAAUGCUUCUUAAGCUCUGGAAAAAUUUUAUCAACAUAGUCAGUGUUAUCAUCCUUAACUAAUUUUAGAAAGAACCAAUAGCUUAAAUUGAAGGUCAUUUAACUACAUGGUAAAAGGCAGAAUCAAAGGAGAGAGAGGCUGUCUCGAGUAAAAGUUUCGGAUUCCUCAGUCACAAAAUAUUUAAAAGGAGUCUUUUUUAAAUCUCUGAAGCUUAUCUGUUUACUUGUGAUAAGAUAUAUGAAUAUGUUUUGAAAAAGGAUAUGCUUCUAUCAUCCGUCUGCUACCAGGAAAUUCAAUAUAAUUUACCUUUUAAUUGUAUCCACUAAUUUUUAUGAUUAAAGGUGAAAUUAAGUUCCUUCCCUGUAAUCUAAAAAAAAAAAAAUAGUUCUGAUCUCUCACUUGAAAUUUCCUUUAUUUCCUAUAAUAUAUAUUUCAUAAAAUGUAUGAACUAUUAUGGUCAUUACAAUACACAGUGAUUAUUUGGGGGAAGGAGGAAAGUAUAUAUUAUAAAUCAAAUGAUUAAAAAUGUACUGAAUUAUAAUUCACUGUUUUAAAAUAGUCUUUUUUAAUAACCUUGAAAAGGAUGUCAUUUUUCUAAUGUUGUAAUUCAUUAGACAAAUGUUUGAGAAGAUUUGAGGUUUCUUUCUCGUUUUACUUUUUUUCCUUCUGUUUAUAUGAGAACAAGCUUAGCUAUAGAAACCCUCUUUUCUUUCAAAGACUUAAUUCUCUUCUAAUAAAUUUUAUAUUGAACAAGUUAAUGGAAACAAAUGGCAGGUAUGGAGACAGAGAAGGAAAAUGAAAUAAGGAGUUGAAACUCUCAGUGAGUGGGAAGAAUCAAUGACUCCUACUUUUGUAGAUUAAAAAACUAGUGGAAAUUGGUGCCCCAAAUAAAACACAGGCUAUAAUAAGAACAAGUCUGAAGAGAAAAAUAAUAAGCUCCACAGUGGUGAUACCAUGCAUUAAAGCAGUU
rnacentral:lncRNA from 1 species